GGAGCGGUUAGCCAGCCGGUUAGAAUAUCGGCUCACGCCGGGGGUCGCAGGUUCGAGCCUCCGACCGCUCCGCCA
rnacentral:tRNA from 2 species